CCAGCUGAGCCGCCCUCUAAAAACAAUCCAUAUUAGUGUGGUUCUUCUGAAAAAGUACGUCUUCACCCAACUGUCAGGAGACAGCGGGCAUCAUCCAAUCCGUAUUCGGCAUUCAUGGAAGGAAAUGCCAAAAAAAACCCAACAUCGCCAGGGAAUAGCACAGGCAUACAAGUGACACCCUAGACGGCUCAGACAAGAACAUACUGUACUUAGGACCUACUGAAAAGCACAGCUUUGUAUCACUCACUCCAGCAGUUUGCCGAGGACUGUCGCGGUUACACCGAGGUUUUGUGUUUGUCGGCGUUGCGGAAGAUAUGCCCCAUCAACCCCCCUCUCCCACUGAUUUAAAUGGAGGGGCCCUGUCUUGGCUUUUGCGAGAGGGAGGGAGAGAGAAGAUGCAAAUGGAGAGAUUUGGUAGACCGCUGGACGGGGUGGACUCGGAGCAAGGGUCUGAAGGGCAGCGACGAUCGGAGGAAGUCAUUGGGGACCAAUUGGCCUAUGUGUUAGCUCCAAGUUUAAUAAGAUUUGGGCCUUUUUUCUUUUGUUUUGUUUCCCUACUAACCAUAUAGUCAAAGUAAGGGUUAUAAAGCUUAAUUGUUUAAUCACA